rnacentral:rRNA from 2 species
UGGUGGGUAGUUUGACUGGGGCGGUCUCCUCCUAAAGAGUAACGGAGGAGCACGAAGGUUGGCUAAUCCUGGUCGGACAUCAGGAGGUUAGUGCAAUGGCAUAAGCCAGCUUGACUGCGAGCGUGACGGCGCGAGCAGGUGCGAAAGCAGGUCAUAGUGAUCCGGUGGUUCUGAAUGGAAGGGCCAUCGCUCAACGGAUAAAAGGUACUCCGGGGAUAACAGGCUGAUACCGCCCAAGAGUUCAUAUCGACGGCGGUGUUUGGCACCUCGAUGUCGGCUCAUCACAUCCUGGGGCUGAAGUAGGUCCCAAGGGUAUGGCUGUUCGCCAUUUAAAGUGGUACGCGAGCUGGGUUUAGAACGUCGUGAGACAGUUCGGUCCCUAUCUGCCGUGGGCGCUGGAGAACUGAGGGGGGCUGCUCCUAGUACGAGAGGACCGGAGUGGACGCAUCACUGGUGUUCGGGUUGUCAUGCCAAUGGCACUGCCCGGUAGCUAAAUGCGGAAGAGAUAAGUGCUGAAAGCAUCUAAGCACGAAACUUGCCCCGAGAUGAGUUCUCCCUGAGACUUAGAGUCUCCUGAAGGAACGUUGAAGACGACGACGUUGAUAGGCCGGGUGUGUAAGCGCAG